rnacentral:rRNA from 1 species
GCCAGACUCCUACGGGAGGCAGCAGUGGGGAAUAUUGCACAAUGGGGGGAACCCCGAUGCAGCGACGCCGCGUGGGUGAAGGAGCGUUUCGGCGCGUAAAGCCCUAUCGGCAGGGAAGAAGGAGGACGGUACCUGACUAAGAAGCCCCGGCUAACUACGUGCCAGCAGCCGCGGUAAUACGUAGGGGGCAAGCGUUAUCCGGAUUUACUGGGUGUAAAGGGGGCGCAGACGGCAGCGCAAGCCAGGAGUGAAAGCCCGGGGCCCAACCCCGGGACUGCUCUUGGAACUGCGCGGCUGGAGUGCAGGAGGGGCAGGCGGAAUUCCUGGUGUAGCGGUGAAAUGCGUAGAUAUCAGGAGGAACACCGGUGGCGAAGGCGGCCUGCUGGACUGCGACUGACGUUGAGGCCCGAAAGCGUGGGGAGCAAACAGGAUUAGAUACCCCUGUA